GAUGAACGCUGGCGGCGUGCCUAAUACAUGCAAGUCGAGCGAAUGGAUUAAGAGCUUGCUCUUAUGAAGUUAGCGGCGGACGGGUGAGUAACACGUGGGUAACCUGCCCAUAAGACUGGGAUAACUCAGGGAAACCGGGGCUAAUACCGGAUAACAUUUUGAACCGCAUGGUUCGAAAUUGAAAGGCGGCUUCGGCUGUCACUUAUGGAUGGACCCGCGUCGCAUUAGCUAGUUGGUGCGGUAACGGCUCACCAAGGCAACGAUGCGUAGCCGACCUGAGAGGGUGAUCGGCCACACUGGGACUGAGACACGGCCCAGACUCCUACGGGAGGCAGCAGUAGGGAAUCUUCCGCAAUGGACGAAAGUCUGACGGAGCAACGCCGCGUGGGUGAUGAAGGCUUUCGGGUCGUAAACUCUGUUGUUAGGGAAGAACAAGUGCUAGUUGAAUAAGCUGGCACCUUGACGGUACCUAACCAGAAAGCCACGGCUAACUACGUGCCAGCCGCCGCGGUAA
rnacentral:rRNA from 1 species